rnacentral:lncRNA from 1 species
GAAGCUGCUUGGAUAGGACAGUAGAUUGGCCUUUUGAAGACUGAGUUACAGCAACAGGCAAAGAAGAGAAUUACAGUAUGGACUGGGGUGAUCGAUCCCAACUACCAAUGGGAACUGGACUACUACUCCACAAUGAAGAAUCAGGACAGGAAAGUGCCCUGGAUAAAGGAGUGACAGGAUGAAUCACAGCAGGAGCCCGAUUGUGACAGGCAGAGGGGAGUGUGAAAAGAGAUGCGCCGAGGUGUUUAUAACAAUAUCUGAAGAAAUGUCUGCCCUCGUCUCCUUUCGACUCUUGCUCGUCUGGAUUGAAAUCAUUCACCUAAGGACAAAAACUUUGAUCUCACUUUACUUCCUCCGCUAAUCAAAAACAUUUCAAAUUACGCCUCCUUCCUCGUAAUGACUUCCUCUCCUACAGGAUCAAAUGUACAGAUGCUUAUGUUUGCACUCAUGUUUAGUUCUAGACUUCCCAGCCACAUAGUGAGGGU